rnacentral:rRNA from 1 species
AUGUUGUAUUGUUUCAUCAUUGUGUUUUCAUUGUGUUUUCGUUCUAGAAAGGAGUUCACUACAGGCUGCAACAAAACUUACCAUCCACAACGUAAUGGCAGUGAAAAUGUGCGAAAAAAAAUCAAGGGUGAAAUGUUCCUUUACGCAAUUUCAAUUUCAUGCUUAGUUGCACAAUUUUCUCCCGCAAAGGAAAACUGCACCAUAAGUCAAAAAUUUCAACAGCAACAAGAAAAACUGCCCGAGAACCUGGAACUUCUAAUUUUAUCCGGAAGUACUUCACACACGAUUUUUUUACUGAACGACACUAGAAGAUGGGUUGGGCUUGGAUGGUGGGAUAGUGGGUGUCGUCUGUCGUGUGUAAUUCGUGUGGUAAGUGUCGUGCAGGUAGCAGUGCUCAAUUUUAUUUUACCGUUUAUUUACUUUCUGGGUCUUUUUCUCACCGUUUCUAGUCUUUUCGAUGGUCCAAGAGCCAGGAAGAUGAUAGAAGGAUCCCUCUGCUUCACAUGCGUUUGUUGCACGCAUUUGUCACUUGCCACGAAGAAGCACUGGAUGCAACAGUACAACGUACUAAAGGCCAUAGUGGCCUAA